rnacentral:rRNA from 1 species
GACGAACGCUGGCGGCGUGCUUAACACAUGCAAGUCGAACGGAAAGGCCCUGCUUUUGUGGGGUGCUCGAGUGGCGAACGGGUGAGUAACACGUGAGUAACCUGCCCUUUACUUUGGGAUAACUUCAGGAAACUGGGGCUAAUACCGGAUAUGAGCUCCUGCUGCAUGGUGGGGGUUGGAAAGUUUCGGCGGUUGGGGAUGGACUCGCGGCUUAUCAGCUUGUUGGUGGGGUAGUGGCUUACCAAGGCUUUGACGGGUAGCCGGCCUGAGAGGGUGACCGGACACAUUGGGACUGAGAUACGGCCCAGACUCCAACGGGAGGCAGCAGUGGGGAAUAUUGCACAAUGGGCGGAAGCCUGAUGCAGCAACGCCGCGUGCGGGAUGACGGCCUUCGGGUUGUAAACCGCUUUCGCCUGUGACGAAGCGUGAGUGACGGUAAUGGGUAAAGAAGCACCGGCUAACUACGUG